CUCGCCGUCGGUGGCCAGGCUGUGGCCAUGUGGCCUGGUGGCCAGACCUUUGCAGUUUACUACAACUCUGGAAGAGCUCAGGAAGCACACUUCAUACAGUUCCCAUAUUUCAUGGAUGAAGAGUGUGAGGCCCAGAGCCUGACAGGAAGCUUAGAGUAAAACUGCAAUAGGACAGUUGUCUCCUGUCCCCCAGAACAGUGUUUGCUCCAUGCCGCACUGAUCUGUGUGCUGGAGCAGAUGUAAUUGAAAACAUGGUGGAGAGAAAGGAGUUCUAACUCAUAACACAAAACCUCUGAGAUACCUAAGGAUACCUAACAACAACAACAACAACAACAACAACAACACAACAACAGCAACAAAAUGCACAAGAAUAACCAGAAAACAUUGAAGACAAACAAUGAGUAGGACUUGCUGUAUCAGAAACCAACAUGAUGAAUCCUGAGAAACUGUAGACACGCAUGACAGGCACAGAUACCAGGAACUAUGAACUAGGACCUCACAAAUGAAGACACUCCAGGGGCACCCAAGUCUGUUUUGAGCUGAUAUGAGUUGGGGCAGAUGACUCGAAUGCCUGCUCCAAGUCUCAAGCUAGCUGGCAUCUAGUGGGCCUCUCAGAGUUGAAUGAAAGAAGGCAAAGAGAGCCGAGAAAGCGGUGCAGGAAUGCAGACUGCAUCAGAGGGUAUAUCACACGCCAUUCAGGGACACUGCAAGAGAAGAUCAGGACAACUGAUUUGUCAGAUGGGAAUUCCUGAGUGUAGCUAUAAUGGGCAGAACAGUUAGCAAUUAAAGAGAGGACUCCUUGUCUGCAGCUGGACUUAGACUGAGUUUCAGUUCUCAUGGGUGUAUGGGUCAUUUUCUUCUCAGAAUUAUGGCAGACUCAGAUACCUGUAAUAAUAUGGGAGCAUAAAAAGAACACUUGCAUGUCUGAGUGAUGAUAACUGUUGACCUGAUGGUGAGCAACAGGAGCUCAGAGGAACAGGUACUGAUGAGAAGAAAAGUGAGGGCAUCUCAGCUCUGCCUGGGAGGGCAGGGGAGACUGGAGGCCAGGGGAGGACAAGCAACCUGAGGAGAGGGCUCUGCAGCCAGAGAGGGGCCUGAGGACUGUUGGACCAAGAGCUGGUGGCAGCACUUCAGUGCUUGUAGCUCUUCCUGCUGGAGGAGGAGGUGGUGGUGUACUUGAUGGUGGAACUGCCGCCGCCAACAGAGCUGAGGCCACCUCCAAUGGCUCUGCCGCUGCUGGAACUGAAGCCACCUCCAACGCCAAGACCACUGCCAUAGGAGUAGCUGCUUCCUCCACCCAGGCCUAAGCCACUGCCGACACCGCUGGCACCGCCAUAGCCACUGGAGACAGUGGAUUGUACCACAGCUGUGGUGGGGAGGGAGACAAGGACACAAGAAGCCAUGGUGAGCUCAUCCUGUCAGCCUGAGCCCAGUCAGAAGAGUGCAAGGGCAGGGGAGGAAGGCAAGCAAAGGUACUUACAGAUGUUGACUUGUCCAACGCCUUCGCCAUUCAGCCUGUAGAGAGGAACACAGGGAGGGUGAGACCUCAGAGAGCCCUUCCCCGGAGGAGCAUGGGAAGCCUUGGUGGGUGGAUGAGUCUACGGGAAAACUUUUAGUUUUCUCCCAAGAAGAGCAAUUAUGGUCUUGGGCAGUGCACCUUAAAGUUGUGCUCAGUGCCAGGAACGUUGAAGAAGGACUCAGCUGUUGGAGGAAGUCGCGUCAGUUACCCACCUGCACUCCUCGCCCUCCAGCAGCUUGCGAUAGGUGGCGAUCUCCACGUCCAAGGCCAGCUUGACAUUCAUCAGCUCCUGGUACUCUUUCAGCAGUCGGGCCAGGUCCUGCUUGGCCUUCUGCAGGGCAUCCUCCAGCCCUUCCAGCUUGUUCUUGGCAUCCUUGAGUGCCAUCUCCCCACGCUGCUCAGCAUCAGCAAUGGCAGCCUGCAGGUUGGCACACUAAGAGGGGAAAGGAAUGGAAAGAGCUUGUCAUCUGGUCUUCCAGAGGAGACUAAACCUGGCUGGUUCUUUUCCAGCGAAGAAGGUACCAGGAACCCAGAAUUGAUGGUAAAUGAGCUCUGACACUUCCUGUCUAGCCUUUUUACUAUCUUCAAACCUUUUACAUCUGGAGUUACAUGAUAAAAUCCUGUGCCCCUUUGUGUUAACUCCCCUGCCUAAAGAUGUGGGUGAUGACCCAUGGAAGAUGCCAGAGUGGACACAAGAUCAAGUACAUUAAGUGUUGUCUCCAAAGCAAAACCAAAACCAUUUUUGAUGAUCUUGUAUGGAUGCCACAAUAAUUUGCAAACAUUGUCAACUGAGGUGAUGAGUUUUCACAUGAGGCUGUUGAGACCUUGCCUUCCUCCUGCCUCACAUUCUCUCACCCGCUUGGGCCAUGUUUUCCUUCCUCAUGGCCCUGGUUUCACUUUCUUUUUCACCGUGAACCUUGAGCAGAUUUGCAGCAAUGUUACUCAUGCUUUCUGACCUGACACCUCACCCAACUUGGUCCUUUGCAGUUCCAAAGUCAAUCAGUCUUCUUACAUAAGCCUUUCCAAUGCCUCUAGACUAUACUUUUACAUCUUUGACCAGGUGAAAGUGCUUCUGCCCAGGUGAUUGUUUCAUGUCCUUGGGUGUGAUCCAUGUCUCUGAGCCAGAGUGUUCUCACUGAGCCUAGGAACUGCAUGUCUUUCCUUCUCUGCUUAUCACUCGAUUCCCAAAGAAUUUUACUAAAUGAUGGUUGACUGCUGCCUCAUGACCUAAUAAAAAAAAAUGAUGCUUUUCUCCUC